CAAUAAGCAAAAUAAGGGCGUAUGGGGGAUGCCUAGGCUCUCAGAGGCGAUGAAAGGCGUGAUAAGCUGCGAAAAGUUACGGGGAUUGGCACACACGAUACGAUCCGUAAAUACCUGAAUGGGGCAACCCACUAUGUUGAAGACAUAGUACACCGAUAGGUGGGCAAACCCGCUGAACUGAAACAUCUAAGUAGGCGGAGGAGAAGAAAACAAAAGUGAUUCCGUAAGUAGUGGCGAGCGAACGCGGAUUAGCCCAAACCAAUGUUGUUACGGCAAUGUUGGGGUUGUAGGACCACGACAUUUCUUGCAUAAAGAAUUAGAAUCUACUGGAAAGUAGAGCCAAAGAAGGUGAUAGCCCUGUAUAAGUAAUGAAUGUAAAGAAUAGUGGUAUCCUGAGUAGGGCGGGGCACGUGAAACCCUGUCUGAAUUUGGCGGGACCAUCCGCUAAGGCUAAAUACUCCUGAGAGACCGAUAGUGAACCAGUACCGUGAGGGAAAGGUGAAAAGAACCGUGAAUAACGGAGUGAAAUAGAUCCUGAAACCAUACGCUUACAAGCGGUCGGAGCCCUUUCGUGGGGUGACGGCGUGCCUUUUGCAUAAUGAGCCUACGAGUUAACGUUGCUGGCAAGGAUAAGUGGUUAAGCCACGGAUCCGUAGCGAAAGCGAGUCUGAAUAGGGCGCUUUAGUCAGUAGUGUUAGACGCGAAACCGUGUGAUCUACCCAUGGGCAGGUUGAAGCUGUGGUAACACACAGUGGAGGACCGA
rnacentral:rRNA from 1 species